rnacentral:misc_RNA from 1 species
GAUGAAGAACGUAGCGAAAUGCGAUACGUAAUGUGAAUUGCAAAUUCAGUGAAUCAUCGAGUCUUUGAACGCACAUUGCUCCCCCUGGUAUUCCGGGGGGCAUGCCUGUCCGAGCGUCAUUGCUGCCCUCAAGCACGGCUUGUGUGUUGGGCCCCGUCCUCCGAUCCCGGGGGACGGGCCCGAAAGGCAGCGGCGGCACCGCGUCCGGUCCUCGAGCGUAUGGGGCUUUGUCACCCGCUCUGUAGGCCCGGCCGGCGCUUGCCGAUCAACACAAAUUUUUAUCCAGGUUGACCUCGGAUCAGGUAGGGAUACCCGCUGAACUUAAGCAUAUCAAUAAGAGGAGGA